rnacentral:rRNA from 1 species
UUAAGCGACUAAGCGUACACGGUGGAUGCCCUGGCAGUCAGAGGCGAUGAAGGACGUGCUAAUCUGCGAAAAGCGUCGGUAAGGUGAUAUGAACCGUUAUAACCGGCGAUGUCCGAAUGGGGAAACCCAGUGCAAUUCGUUGCACUAUCGUUAACUGAAUACAUAGGUUAACGAGGCGAACCGGGGGAACUGAAACAUCUAAGUACCCCGAGGAAAAGAAAUCAACCGAGAUUCCCCCAGUAGCGGCGAGCGAACGGGGAGCAGCCCAGAGUCUGAAUCAGCUUGUGUGUUAGUGGAACGGUCUGGAAAGUCCGACGGUACAGGGUGAUAGUCCCGUACACCAAAAUGCACAGGUUGUGAACUCGAAGAGUAGGGCGGGACACGUGGUAUCCUGUCUGAAUAUGGGGGGACCAUCCUCCAAGGCUAAAUACUCCUGACUGACCGAUAGUGAACCAGUACCGUGAGGGAAAGGCGAAAAGAACCCCGGCGAGGGGAGUGAAAAAGAACCUGAAACCGUGUACGUACAAGCAGUGGGAGCACCUUCGGGUGUGACUGCGUACCUUUUGUAUAAUGGGUCAGCGACUUAUAUUCUGUAGCAAGGUUAACCGUAUAGGGGAGCCGCAGGGAAACCGAGUCUUAACUGGGCGUUAAGUUGCAGGGUAUAGACCCGAAACCCGGUGAUCUAGCCAUGGGCAGGUUGAAGGUUGGGUAACACUAACUGGAGGACCGAACCGACUAAUGUUGAAAAAUUAGCGGAUGACUUGUGGCUGGGGGUGAAAGGCCAAUCAAACCGGGAGAUAGCUGGUUCUCCCCGAAAGCUAUUUAGGUAGCGCCUCGUGAAUUCAUCUUCGGGGGUAGAGCACUGUUUCGGCUAGGGGGUCAUCCCGACUUACCAACCCGAUGCAAACUACGAAUACCGAAGAAUGUUAUCACGGGAGACACACGGCGGGUGCUAACGUCCGUCGUGAAGAGGGAAACAACCCAGACCGCCAGCUAAGGUCCCAAAGUCAUGGUUAAGUGGGAAACGAUGUGGGAAGGCACAGACAGCCAGGAUGUUGGCUUAGAAGCAGCCAUCAUUUAAAGAAAGCGUAAUAGCUCACUGGUCGAGUCGGCCUGCGCGGAAGAUGUAACGGGGCUAAACCAUGCACCGAAGCUGCGGCAGCGACACUAUGUGUUGUUGGGUAGGGGAGCGUUCUGUAAGCCUGCGAAGGUGACCUGUGAGGGUUGCUGGAGGUAUCAGAAGUGCGAAUGCUGACAUAAGUAACGAUAAAGCGGGUGAAAAGCCCGCUCGCCGGAAGACCAAGGGUUCCUGUCCAACGUUAAUCGGGGCAGGGUGAGUCGACCCCUAAGGCGAGGCCGAAAGGCGUAGUCGAUGGGAAACAGGUUAAUAUUCCUGUACUUGGUGUUACUGCGAAGGGGGGACGGAGAAGGCUAUGUUAGCCGGGCGACGGUUGUCCCGGUUUAAGCAUGUAGGCUGAUUGUCCAGGCAAAUCCGGAUAAUCAAGGCUGAGGUGUGAUGACGAGGCACUACGGUGCUGAAGUAACAAAUGCCCUGCUUCCAGGAAAAGCCUCUAAGCAUCAGGUAACAUCAAAUCGUACCCCAAACCGACACAGGUGGUCAGGUAGAGAAUACCAAGGCGCUUGAGAGAACUCGGGUGAAGGAACUAGGCAAAAUGGUGCCGUAACUUCGGGAGAAGGCACGCUGGUGUGUAGGUGAAGUCCCUGCGGAUGGAGCUGAGACCAGUCGAAGAUACCAGCUGGCUGCAACUGUUUAUUAAAAACACAGCACUGUGCAAACACGAAAGUGGACGUAUACGGUGUGACGCCUGCCCGGUGCCGGAAGGUUAAUUGAUGGGGUUAUCCGUAAGGAGAAGCUCUUGAUCGAAGCCCCGGUAAACGGCGGCCGUAACUAUAACGGUCCUAAGGUAGCGAAAUUCCUUGUCGGGUAAGUUCCGACCUGCACGAAUGGCGUAAUGAUGGCCAGGCUGUCUCCACCCGAGACUCAGUGAAAUUGAACUCGCUGUGAAGAUGCAGUGUACCCGCGGCAAGACGGAAAGACCCCGUGAACCUUUACUAUAGCUUGACACUGAACAUUGAGCCUUGAUGUGUAGGAUAGGUGGGAGGCUUUGAAGCGUGGACGCCAGUCUGCGUGGAGCCAACCUUGAAAUACCACCCUUUAAUGUUUGAUGUUCUAACGUUGGCCCCUGACCGGGGUUGCGGACAGUGUCUGGUGGGUAGUUUGACUGGGGCGGUCUCCUCCCAAAGCGUAACGGAGGAGCACGAAGGUUAGCUAAUCCUGGUCGGACAUCAGGAGGUUAGUGCAAUGGCAUAAGCUAGCUUGACUGCGAGCGUGACGGCGCGAGCAGGUGCGAAAGCAGGUCAUAGUGAUCCGGUGGUUCUGAAUGGAAGGGCCAUCGCUCAACGGAUAAAAGGUACUCCGGGGAUAACAGGCUGAUACCGCCCAAGAGUUCAUAUCGACGGCGGUGUUUGGCACCUCGAUGUCGGCUCAUCACAUCCUGGGGCUGAAGUAGGUCCCAAGGGUAUGGCUGUUCGCCAUUUAAAGUGGUACGCGAGCUGGGUUUAGAACGUCGUGAGACAGUUCGGUCCCUAUCUGCCGUGGGCGCUGGAGAAUUGAGGGGGGCUGCUCCUAGUACGAGAGGACCGGAGUGGACGCAUCACUGGUGUUCGGGUUGUCAUGCCAAUGGCACUGCCCGGUAGCUAAAUGCGGAAGAGAUAAGUGCUGAAAGCAUCUAAGCACGAAACUUGCCCCGAGAUGAGUUCUCCCUGAGACUUUAAGUCUCCUGAAGGAACGUUGAAGACGACGACGUUGAUAGGCCGGGUGUGUAAGCGCAGCGAUGCGUUGAGCUAACCGGUACUAAUGAACCGUGAGGCUUAACCU